GCCAAGGUGGCGGAGCGGCAAUCGCACAUGACUGUAGAUCAUGCAUCGAAAGAUUUCCUAGGUUCGAGUCCUAGCCUUGGCA
rnacentral:tRNA from 1 species